rnacentral:rRNA from 1 species
CAGCCGUAAACUAUGCGCGUUAGGUGUAUCGGUGACCACGAGUUACCGAGGUGCCGAAGGGAAACCGUGAAACGUGCCGCCUGGGAAGUACGGUCGCAAGGCUGAAACCUAAAGGAAUUGGCGGGGGAGCACCACAACAGGUGGAGCCUGCGGUUUAAUUGGACUCAACGCCGGGAAGCUCACCGGAUAGGACAGCAGAAUGAUUGCCGGGCUGAAGACCCUGCAUGACUAGCUGAGAGGAGGUGCAUGGCGUAGACGUCU